CCUUCACGUGGUACAGAAUGUAUUGAUGAUGGUUCAUUAAUCUAAAAUUAUAUAGACUUUUUUUACUUUUUAUAUUCAUAUUGUGUAUUGUUGUUUUAAUUUUGAUUAUUAUAUUUUAUCAUUCUUUUUUAUUAUUAUUUUCUGGUUGUAUUAUCGUAUUUUCACCUAUAAAUAAGUUGUAAA
rnacentral:misc_RNA from 1 species